rnacentral:rRNA from 1 species
AGUGAACGCUGGCGGUAGGCCUAACACAUGCAAGUCGAACGGCAGCACAGUAAGAGCUUGCUCUUACGGGUGGCGAGUGGCGGACGGGUGAUGAAUACAUCGGAGUCUACUGUUUCGUGGGUGAUAACGUAGGGAAACUUACGCUAAUACCGCAUACGACCUACGGGUGAAAGCAGGGGAUCUUCGGACCUUGCGCGAUUGAAUGAGCCGAUGUCGGAUUAGCUAGUUGGCGGGGUAAAGGCCCACCAAGGCGACGAUCCGUAGCUGGUCUGAGAGGAUGAUCAGCCACACUGGAACUGAGACACGGUCCAGACUCCUACGGGAGGCAGCAGUGGGGAAUAUUGGACAAUGGGCGCAAGCCUGAUCCAGCCAUACCGCGUGGGUGAAGAAGGCCUUCGGGUUGUAAAGCCCUUUUGUUGGGAAAGAAAAGCAGCAGGUUAAUACCCCGCUGUUCUGACGGUACCCAAAGAAUAAGCACCGGCUAACUUCGUG